UCCUCCGGGAGGCAGCAGUAGGGAAUAUUUUGCAACAAUGGAAACUAUCCUGAACCAGCACCGCGUGAGUAAUGAAGACGUCCUGGUGGUAAAAAUCUUUUUUUAGGGAAGAACAAGUGCUAGUUGAAUAAACUGGCGCCUUAUGGGUGCCCCACCAGAAAACCCCGCGUAUAUCUGUGCCACCACCCCCGGUAAUAUGUGGGUGGCAAAAGUUUUCCGGAAUUUUUGGGGGUAAAAAGCGCGCAGGGGGUUUUUUAAGUGUGAUGUGAAARCCCCCGGGUCUCCCGUGGAGGGUCAUUGGAAAGUGGGAGACUUGAGUGCAGAAGAGGAAAGGGGAAUUCCAUGUGUAUCGGUGAAAUAUGUAGAGAUAUGGAGGAACACCAGUGGGGAAGGGGACUUUCCGGUCGGUAACUGUCACUGAGAUGCGAAAAAGUGGGGAGCAAACAGAAUAAGAUACCCCGGUGGUCCCCCCCCCAAACGAUGAGUGUUAAGUUUAGAGGGUUCCUCCCUUUAGUGCCGAAGUUAACGCAUUAAGUACUCCCGCCGGA
rnacentral:rRNA from 1 species